UCCGUAGGUGAACCUGCGGAAGGAUCAUUAGUGAUUUGGCCUCACGGCCUUUAUCCAUAUCCUAACACCUGUGAACACUGUCGGUCGAGGAGUCCCGCUCCUCGCCGUCAAACCUUUACAAUACAUUGUGUAACGAACGUCAUGUAUCUUAAUGAAACAAAACUUUCAACAACGGAUCUCUUGGCUCUCGCAUCGAUGAAGAACGCAGCGAAAUGCGAUAAGUAAUGUGAAUUGCAGAAUUCAGUGAAUCAUCGAAUCUUUGAACGCACCUUGCGCCUCUUGGUAUUCCGAGAGGCAUGCCUGUUUGAGUGUCAUGAAAUCUCAAUCCCUUGGGUUUUCUGAACCCGGGGUGCAUUGGACUUGGGCGUCUGCCGGUCACACGGCUCGCCUCAAAUGUGUUAGUGGAUCCCUUCGACCCAUGCCUGACGUGAUAAGUUUCGUCUCGGCCGGUCGCUGGUGGCUGCUCACAACCCCCAACAUUUCUUUUGACAUUGACCUCAAAUCAGGUAGGGCUACCCGCUGAACUUAAGCAUAUCAAUAAGCGGAGGA
rnacentral:rRNA from 1 species